rnacentral:rRNA from 1 species
UACGGGGGGGCAAGCGUUGUUCGGAAUUACUGGGCGUAAAGGGCUCGUAGGCGGCCAACUAAGUCAGACGUGAAAUCCCCAGGCUCAACCUGGGAACUGCGUCUGAUACUGGAUGGCUUGAAUUCGGGAGAGGGAUGCAGAAUUCCAGGUGUAGCGGUGAAAUGCGUAGAUAUCUGGAGGAAUACCGGUGGCGAAGGCGGCAUCCUGGACCGACAUUGACGCUGAGGAGCGAAAGCUAGGGGAGCAAACGGGG